UCCACUGUUGCGUUUUUCAUACGUGCGUAUACGCACGUAAAACUUUAAAUCCGUUUAAAUGUUACUUAUGAAAUAACCAAAUAAGUUAAGCAACAGAAUUUAGUGUUCCGCAAGUUUUAGUAUGCAUUUGUUAACUUAUUUGUAAAAUAUUUAAAAAAUAGAAGGAUUCAAAGUUUUACGUGCGUUUACGUGCGUACGAAAAACGCAACAGUGGA